CAAAACUUCAGGCUAGGGCUUCUUUACCUCUGUCUCCAAGACUCACCCCAGACAAGAGACUCUAUGAAACCAACGCCCUUUCUGUAUAGCACUGCAACACCCUCCUCUCCGCUCUCAAGGCUCAGGCACCUGCUGCCGUUGUCAGGUGCUAGUUUCUCAGGCACCUGCUGCUGUUGUCAGGUGCUAGUUUGUGUUUUGAAACCAAGUAUGAACAUACUCAGCAAUGUUAUCCUUCAGGAACCAGGAAGAUCUUCAUGUCACCAUGACAACAUGUAGAGUCAUCUGAAAGGAGAGCCUCACUUGAAGAAUCUCCUAGAUCAGAUUGGCCUGUGGUCAUGUUGGUGGAGAAUUGUAUUGAUUUUGAAUUGGUGUAGGAGGGUCCAGCCUACUGCAGGAGCUACAAUCCCUAGGCUCAUAAACCUGUCCUGUAUAAGAAAGCCAAUUGAGCAUAAGCCCACCUAGCAGCCAGCAAUCAACAUUCUCCAUGGUUCCUGCUGCUGUACCUUCUCUGGCUGUGAAAUGAGCUCCUUGGUUGGAGACAUUCUGAGCUUCUGAGCAGCACAGGAUACUCCACCUUCCUCUAGAGCAUCAUUUCUGAAUUGUUGCUAAGUCCACAAAGGAGGUACUGACAGCUGGCCUUCCCUGCCAUUCUUAGAAGUGGUUUUGCAAGCAGUAGUUAUUUUUUAAAGUGUUACAGGAUGUUCAACGGAGUAGAACCAGAGAGUAGCUGUGGUCUGUGGAUGGAGCAUCCAUCUAGACAGGUGGCCAGAGGAAGCCCUCAGGCAAAGGACUGCUGCUGUCCUGAGAAAACAGCACCCGCAUACCUCCGCCAUGUGAAGGUGGAUAGAUGACUGUGAACCCACUGUGGGAAAAGCAUUGAGAGGUACAUCAUUGAAGACACUAAGGUAUUCCAGGUCCCUGGAAAUAGAGGGCUAGAAUUACUAAAGGACCAGGCCAGCACUACUGAAGGUCUCUGGAGGGCCCCAGAGCACUGGGUCAGA
rnacentral:lncRNA from 1 species